rnacentral:rRNA from 1 species
ACGCUCGACACCUACGGGAGGCAGCAGUUGGGAAUAUUGGACAAUGGAGGAAACUCUGAUCCAGUGACGCCGCGUGAAGGAAGAAGGUCUUCGGAUUGUAAACUUAUUUUGUCAGGGAAGAAAAAAUGACUGUACCUGAAGAAAAAGCACCGGCUAACUACGUGGCAGCAGCCGCGGUAAUCUGAGCGGGCUGGCAAGGC